rnacentral:rRNA from 1 species
AGCGCAACCCUUUUCCUUACUUGCCAGCAUUUCGGAUGGGAACUUUAAGGAUACUGCCAGUGACAAACUGGAGGAAGGCGGGGACGACGUCAAGUCAUCAUGGCCCUUACGGCCAGGGCUACACACGUGCUACAAUGGUCGGUACAAAGGGUUGCUACCUAGCGAUAGG